rnacentral:rRNA from 1 species
CGUUCCCGGGCCUUGUACACACCGCCCGUCACACCAUGGGAGUUGGUUUUACCCGAAGACGGUGCGCCAACCGUAAGGAGGCAGCCGGCCACGGUAAGGUCAGCGACUGGGGUG